rnacentral:rRNA from 1 species
AUUGAACGCUGGCGGCAGGCUUAACACAUGCAAGUCGAGCGGGGAAAUGUAGCUUGCUACAUUACCUAGCGGCGGACGGGUGAGUAAUGCUUAGGAAUCUGCCUAUUAGUGGGGGACAACAUUUCGAAAGGAAUGCUAAUACCGCAUACGCCCUACGGGGGAAAGCAGGGGAUCCUCGGACCUUGCGCUAAUAGAUGAGCCUAAGUCGGAUUAGCUAGUUGGUGGGGUAAAGGCCUACCAAGGCGACGAUCUGUAGCGGGUCUGAGAGGAUGAUCCGCCACACUGGGACUGAGACACGGCCCAGACUCCUACGGGAGGCAGCAGUGGGGAAUAUUGGACAAUGGGGGGAACCCUGAUCCAGCCAUGCCGCGUGUGUGAAGAAGGCCUUUUGGUUGUAAAGCACUUUAAGCGAGGAGGAGGCUACCUAGAUUAAUACUCUGGGAUAGUGGACGUUACUCGCAGAAUAAGCACCGGCUAACUCUGUGCCAGCAGCCGCGGUAAUACAGAGGGUGCAAGCGUUAAUCGGAUUUACUGGGCGUAAAGCGUGCGUAGGUGGCCAAUUAAGUCAAAUGUGAAAUCCCCGAGCUUAACUUGGGAAUUGCAUUCGAUACUGGUUGGCUAGAGUAUGGGAGAGGAUGGUAGAAUUCCAGGUGUAGCGGUGAAAUGCGUAGAGAUCUGGAGGAAUACCGAUGGCGAAGGCAGCCAUCUGGCCUAAUACUGACACUGAGGUACGAAAGCAUGGGGAGCAAACAGGAUUAGAUACCCUGGUAGUCCAUGCCGUAAACGAUGUCUACUAGCCGUUGGGGUCUUUGAGACUUUAGUGGCGCAGCUAACGCGAUAAGUAGACCGCCUGGGGAGUACGGUCGCAAGACUAAAACUCAAAUGAAUUGACGGGGGCCCGCACAAGCGGUGGAGCAUGUGGGUUUAAUUCGAUGCAACGCGAAGAACCUUACCUGGUCUUGACAUAGUAAGAACUUUCCAGAGGAUGGGUUGGUGCCUU